UGCCAGCUGGGGUUGCUGGUGAUGCGAUUUUUAUCCUACCACCCAAAAUCAAAUUGCCAGGGAUUUCCAACGGGCA
rfam:Chelonia mydas contig231156, whole genome shotgun sequence.